rfam:Callipepla squamata strain Texas jcf7180005228365, whole genome shotgun sequence.
UGGAUUGUCUACACUGGAGGCUGAAGCCCUCUAUUUACCCACAGAACAGAUACAGCAUGGGCGGCAGCCGUGCAAGCUUCCCCACGCUGCCCCCACCAAUGUGCCUCAUCUCUGUCCUGGAGGGACCACCUCUAGAGGUGAGAGGAUAGUUUGGUCUCCAUGACCCAUCCGAUCCUUGACCUUU